rnacentral:rRNA from 1 species
UGCAAGUCGAACGGAAAGGCCCUUCGGGGUACUCGAGUGGCGAACGGGUGAGUAACACGUGGGUGAUCUGCCCUGCACUUUGGGAUAAGCCUGGGAAACUGGGUCUAAUACCGAAUAUGACCGCGCUCUUCAUGGGGUGUGGUGGAAAGCUUUUGCGGUGUGGGAUGGGCCCGCGGCCUAUCAGCUUGUUGGUGGGGUAAUGGCCUACCAAGGCGACGACGGGUAGCCGGCCUGAGAGGGUGACCGGCCACACUGGGACUGAGAUACGGCCCAGACUCCUACGGGAGGCAGCAGUGGGGAAUAUUGCACAAUGGGCGCAAGCCUGAUGCAGCGACGCCGCGUGAGGGAUGACGGCCUUCGGGUUGUAAACCUCUUUCAACAGGGACGAAGCGCAAGUGACGGUACCUGUAGAAGAAGGACCGGCCAACUACGUGCCAGCAGCCGCGGUAAUACGUAGGGUCCGAGCGUUGUCCGGAAUUACUGGGCGUAAAGAGCUCGUAGGUGGUUUGUCGCGUUGUUCGUGAAAACUCACAGCUUAACUGUGGGCGUGCGGGCGAUACGGGCAGACUAGAGUACUGCAGGGGAGACUGGAAUUCCUGGUGUAGCGGUGGAAUGCGCAGAUAUCAGGAGGAACACCGGUGGCGAAGGCGGGUCUCUGGGCAGUAACUGACGCUGAGGAGCGAAAGCGUGGGGAGCGAACAGGAUUAGAUACCCUGGUAGUCCACGCCGUAAACGGUGGGUACUAGGUGUGGGUUUCCUUCCUUGGGAUCCGUGCCGUAGCUAACGCAUUAAGUACCCCGCCUGGGGAGUACGGCCGCAAGGCUAAAACUCAAAGGAAUUGACGGGGGCCCGCACAAGCGGCGGAGCAUGUGGAUUAAUUCGAUGCAACGCGAAGAACCUUACCUGGGUUUGACAUGCACAGGACGCGUCUAGAGAUAGGCGUUCCCUUGUGGCCUGUGUGCA